UACGGGGGGAGCAAGCGUUGUUCGGAUUUACUGGGCGUAAAGGGCGCGUAGGCGGCGCAACAAGUCACUUGUGAAAUCUCCGGGCUUAACCCGGAGCGGCCAAGUGAUACUGUCGUGCUAGAGUGCGGAAGGGGCUACUGGAAUUCUCGGUGUAGCGGUGGAAUGCGCAGAUAUUAGGAGGAACACCGAUGGCGAAGGCAGGUCUCUGGGCCAUUACUGACACUGAGAAGCGAAAGCAUGGGGAGCGAACAGG
rnacentral:rRNA from 1 species